ACAUAACUGAUGCCUCCGCGUAUCGACUUUGUGCGCAUUUUAGCUAUUACGUGUUCUUUUAAUUAAAAUGAUUCUUUUUAAGAUUCAUCUAUUAAAAAUUUGCUUCUGCAUAAUUUUUUUUGAUGAUCUUGUUACUUUGAGUAAAUUAGAGUGUUCAAAGCAAACAGAUAUAGCAUUUGUGCGUUUGAAUACUACAGCAUGGAAUAACAAAAUUGAACAAGUCAGAAUUUUUUUGUUCUUUUUUCUUAUUUUGGCUUAGUUACGAUUAAUAGGAGUAGCUUGGGGGCAUUUGUAUUCAGAUGUCAGAGGUGAAAUUCUUAGAUUUUCUGGAGACAAACAACUGCGAAAGCAUUUGCCUAAAAUACUUCCAUUAAUCAAGAACGAAAGUUAAGGGAGUGAAGACGAUCAGAUACCGUCGUAAUCUUAACCAUAAACUAUGCCGACUAGGCUUUGGAUGAAAGAUUUUAAAAUAAGAGUUUUUCUUUUCUCUCCGGAGAUUAGAACUCUUAGAUUGCUUCCUUCAGUGCCUUAUGAGAAAUCAAAGUCUUUGGGUUCUGGGGCGAGUAUUCGCGCAAGCGAGAAAGUUAAAAGAAUUGACGGAAGGGCACCACCAGGCGUGGAGCUUGCGGCUUAAUUUGACUCAACACGGGAAAACUCACUAGUUUAAGACAAGAGUAGGAUUGACAGAUUAAUAGCUCUUUCUUGAUUUCUUGGAUGGUGAUGCAUGGCCGUUUUUAGUUCGUGAAUAUGAUUUGUCUGGUUAAUUCCGAUAACGAACGAGAUCUUAACCUGCUAAUUAGCGGCAAAUACGAUAUAUUCUUAUGUAGAAUUGAAUAUAGUGGAUUUGUUAGAUUUUGAAGAAAAUAUUGGAAUUACGUUAAAUGUGAUUCCUUUCCCUUUUCUACUUAAUUUACAUUUCCAUCUAUUUCUUUUUUGCGUAUGAAUGUAUUUGCUUGAUUGUAAAGCUUCUUAGAGGAACGAUGUGUG
rnacentral:rRNA from 1 species